rnacentral:lncRNA from 1 species
GGGAGUUUGAGUUGCCACAACUCAUUUUGGUAAAUUAAGGUCAUUUCGGCACUUAACAAGCUUGUUUUAUAGCAUUUUUAUAUGUUUUAAUUUCAUUUUUGGUUUUAUUUCUUUAUGUUUAAAUGAUGCAAAAUAAGCCUUUUUAAGAAAAUUUGAAUUAUGUAACAACGUAAUGGGCCACUAUGGACCUAAGGAUGAUCUAACGGCUCUAUCUAGUGUGUAGGACACUAUUUUUGAGCUUAGAAGAUGAAGGACA